CAGUAGCCGCGGUAAUACAGAGGGUGCAAGCGUUAAUCGGAAUUACUGGGCGUAAAGCGCGCGUAGGUGGUUUGUUAAGUUGGAUGUGAAAUCCCCGGGCUCAACCUGGGAACUGCAUCCAAAACUGGCAAGCUAGAGUACGGUAGAGGGUGGUGGAAUUUCCUGUGUAGCGGUGAAAUGCGUAGAUAUAGGAAGGAACACCAGUGGCGAAGGCGACCACCUGGACUGAUACUGACACUGAGGUGCGAAAGCGUGGGGAGCAAACAGGAUUAGAUACCCCAGUAGUCCCUGUCUCUUAUAC
rnacentral:rRNA from 1 species